CCUGGAAUCAUCUCUCCAGGCCUAUUUCUGUUGUUUUGAGGCAGGGUCUCAUGUAGCUCAGGGUGGUUUCAAUUUCACCACAUGACCUCAGAUGACCUGGAACUCAUUAUCUUCUUGAUUCCACCUCAAGAAUGCUGGCAUGCACCAUCAUUCCCAGCUAAAGCCAUGAAGGCAUGCACCAUCAUUCCCAGCUAAAGCCAUGAAUCCUCAGACAUUAUAGGAGUGAUCAGAACACCAGAGAGCAGAACUCCUGGCCACAGGGCUAUUCUCCCAAAGAGCAUUCUGCAGCUGUACAAGAACUCAGCAAAUCUCUCUAGGUGGACUGGGCAUAGUGAGGAUGGUCAGUUGCAUUUGUUCAAAUUAUGGAUCUGUGGAUUAUCCCCAAAAAGAAUUUAUUGGGGUCCCUUUCUACUAAUAUGCUAUUGCCCAUGAUAGUCAAAAUGAAGAGUAAUUAUCUAUCUAUCUAUCUAUCUAUCUAUCUAUCUAUCUAUCUAUCUAUCUAUCUACCUACCUACCUACCUACCUACCUACCUACCUACCUACCUACCUACCUACCUAGUGUUGGGGAUAAAAAUCUUACUCUACCACUUAGCUACAACCCUCAUCCCUUGAACUAAAUUUUAAGGUUUAAAUACCAUUAAGAUGAAAGAGACAGCAUUUCAUAUUGAGAGAGCAGAUAAAUAAAAUGUCGGUAGGACACAAUAUGAUAGAGAGGUGGGAAAUUAUUGAGGUCACCAGGAGGUUCUUCUAAUGAAAAGGAGAAUUUGUGUGUAGGCAAGUAGAGAUCAAGUUUGCAGAAGGACAGAGGGAGCAGACUAAAGCCUUUGUCAAUGUAACAGAGGAAUUUGGACUGAAAGCCAUGUGCAGCUGCAUUCUUGUGGAGCUCUGGAAGAGAGCCUUGUGUGGAGGGCUAUCUAGGAACAAGAGACCAGUGCUGCAGUGGAAGGAUUGGUAGGUAACUUGGGGAAUGUAUUCAUGCAGCGGAGAACACUGUGUCCUUAUCUAUUGAGGAGAAAGUGGGAAGGCAAAUGCCUACUAACAGAAUGAGGACAGGAGGGGAGGACAUCGUUGGCAUUGACUGUGACUGGAGAUGGAAGUGUUAUCACACAUAGAGAGAUGCGUUCCCAGGGGUAGGGAAUUGCACCUAUCUCUCUUCCCCAGAGGAGCACCUAUGGAUUCCCACAAGGACCAUCAAGAAAGGAACAAAGAACAGCAACUGUGUUCUUAAAGCUGGUGAAAGGCAAAGUGGUACUUUUGAGACUAAUUCCUUCAAAUAUGAAAUAUUAUUGAUUUUAUGGACUGCCUGCUUUAGUCCAUUUUGUGUUUUAUAUCAUUGAGUACUUUAAUUUAAUUUUUGUUAUUGUUAUUCAAGAUGGGGUUUCUCUGUGUAGCCCUGGCUAUCCUGAACUCACUCUGUAGCCCAGGCUGGUCACAAAAAUCUACCUGCCUUUGCCUCCCUAGUGCUGGGAUUAAAGGUAUGUAUCACUGUGGCCUUUACUAAACUAUUUUUUGAGAAACAAAACUGGUAGGAAAAACAGUGAACUCUUUCUAGCUUGAUCAUUAAACCUUGGUCCAUGCUAAUGUGGUCUCUAGUCCCAUUGGGUAGCUUCACAGCCCCCACCAUUCAUACAAAACCUUUCCUACACAGUAUAUUGAGAGCCAAACAGUUGUCCACUUUAUUUUGAACUACCACUCUCAGCUCUCCACUUUCCUCCCAAGAACUCUUUACCCACUGAACUUGGUAUAGACAAGCUAACAGUUACCCUAGCAUGGACAAGCGAGUUUACUAGAAAGCAACAUUUAGAGUCCUACUGUGUUCAUUUUAAUCUGUUUACUCUAAGACAGAGGACCAAUCUAUCUAAAGGAGUAAGACCAAAUGAAUUCAUGUUACAGAGGUCUCUAGUAUACAGUACACUGGAAAUGCUUUGUAAUAAAUGUAGAAGAGCAUAUUUGAAGUGCUUCACUUUUUCUUGUCUAUUGUUUGCUAUUAAUGUUAUAAUUGUCCAUCCAUUACACUAAUCCAACAUCUCUCUUGUAGGAAAUAUCCUAACUGCAAUGAGCUUGAAUUGCUGUCUUCCAGAUUAAAUCAGUUACUUUCCAGGACAGAAGAAGACACACAGGAGUGAACACUACAGGGGGAGAGCGUCUAGGUGGUUGCAGAGUUUAAACACAAUACAGGUCAAUGGAUAUAUGCUGAAUUAGUGAAAGAAUGAUCUAGCGGUGGCAGAGAGAUGGUUCAAUGGACAAAGACAUCUGCCAUGCAUGCGAGGACCUGAGUUCAAAUGCCCAGAGUCUUUGUGAAAGCCAGAUGCCCAGAGCUUCUGUGGGAAGAUGGGAGGCAGAGACAAGAAAACCCUUGGACUUUCCAUGUGACAAGCAGCCUGAUGUACACACCAGAAAACAAGAGAACCUGUCUCAAACAACAUGGAAGAUAUAGAUUUCCUUACUGACUGAGCAGUGAACAGGAGGAGCACAUCAGGCUCUCCAACCCUCUGCUGUCUUAUCUCUACGGUCAGGAGGCCACCGGCUAGAGGAGGAUGGAACUACUACAGUAGCCAGGCAUUAUUGCGUGAUAGCUACUUCAUGGUCCCCACCCAAUGCUGGACACCACUAUGGGUGCAUGUGGAAGCCAGAGGACAAAGUUGGAUUGUGUUUCCCAGUGAGUUUUGGAUUUCCAUGGCUGCCAACCUUCUGCAAUGACACUAGAGAAACAGCCAAGGCCGGAAUUGCUGAAGUCAAAGGGAGGACAUUAACAGAGCACAGCAGCUAAAGAGCAGGAAACCUUGCCUACAUUAAAUAUACAAUCUUCCUUGUUCUGUGAGACAGUGCGUAUGGAUUUGCCAUAUUUUGUUAAUUUUUGUUUUUGGGAUGGGGUUUUACUCUGUAGCUCCCGCUGGCCUGGAACUUGCUAUGUAGACAAGGCUGGACUUGAACUCGUAAGAUCUGACAGCUUCUGCCUCCUGAGCACUGGAACUGAAGGCAAGGGACAUCAGCCUGCCAAGUUAACUUCUUUCAGUGUUUUUUUUCUAUGUCUCUCAGUAGGAAAUCGAUGUGAGUUACAUCAGAACACUGCAACAAUGCUUUUGUCAAUUUUUAGAACAGUAGCUUGCAACUUCAGACCACUGGAUCCUUUCCUGUGGGAGCAAUCACCCACAAGUUAUAGCCUCCUGGGGACUUAACUGCCAUCCCCUUUUCCUCAGUGAUUUGCUGAACAAGGACCUUUGUUUCCCCGUGUGGCUUGGUUGGAUUUUGCUUCUAUGAUGAAGGUACUGAAGGCCAUGCUUAUUGUUCCUUGUCAUUGAAUGGAGGUAAUAAUUGCCAAGUGUAGAGCAGGAUGCUAAAAUUAAGUGAGGGCCUUUUCAAUCAUGGCCCCAUGCACUUCGGUGUGAGGCCCUGCUGGAGAACACGGUGUAAAUCAGUUGAAGAACAUAGUUCUGCAUUUGAGGCAUCAUGGUUUACAGCUCCCAAAUGACCCCCAUCUAUCUUCCUCCACUGCAGAGGUGUAUAAUUGAGCUAAAGAGAGACUUGAGUAAUGUGACUCAGGGUGGCGGUUCCAUCACUGAGACUUAAUAGUGGAACUGCUGCGUGCUUUUUUAUCCUCUGAAAUGUAACGAAAUAGUCGAGGAGACCCAAUUCUUCAGGGUGACACUUGCUGAGAGUCUAUAUUUUAAAAUAGAAAUAGGUUUUGAUAAGCAAAAAAACGAUAAAUCUCUCUCAACAAAAGAGUUCCCUAAAUACAAUUAUACAAGCUGGAACAGCAACCAAUAUGAUACAUGCUGUAACCUGCACUAUAUUUUGUGGAAAAUCGUUUUUUAAGCCUUUAUGUUUAUAGUGCAAUGAAGAGAUGCCUUCGCAGUCUCCUAAGGGUCCAAGAGUGACAGGCAUCCUUCACACUUGGGGCUUCUGGGGGAACUAGAGCCAGGAGACACACAGUGUCUUUUUUUUUUUUUUUCUUGUGGAGAGACUUUGGCUUAGUCAGUGACAUUUAUGAAACUAUUGCUAGUAAAGACUUCAAUUUUCCAAGAAGUUGACUUGUAAACACACACACACACACACACACACACACACACACACACACACACACACCAUACUUAGCUGCAUUUAUCAGACUUCUAUCAUAGAUUGAUGUAUAUGGACAUUUAUGGCAAGUAUAUAAGACUGAAUGAGAGCAUAAUUGUCUCCUCAUGAGAUAGCUGGGAUUAGAGUAUUGACACCAUUAAGAGUUAGUCUCUUAUCACAGCCACUGAAUAUUAAUAAUCAAGGCUACAUAAAGGAUAUCGGGUACUCUGAAGUCAUUAUCUCAUCUCCAAACAAGACCUUAAAACUUUAAAACAAGAUGCCCACUGAUGGAACUUGAAAAUAUCAUCCUGAGUGAGGUAACUCAGUCACAAAAGAACACACAUGGUAUGCACUCACUGAUAAGUGGAUAUUAGCCCAAAAAUUUGGAAUACCCAAGAUUCAAUUCACAGACCAUAUGAAGCCCAAGAAGAAGGAAGACAAAAGUGUGGAUGCUUCAGUGCAUCUUAGAAGGGGGAACAAAAUACUCACAGGAGGAAAUAUGGAGACAAAGGGUGGAGCAGAGACUGAAGGAAAGGCAAUCUAGAGACUGCACCACCUGGGGAUCCAUCCCAUAUACAGUCACCAAACCCGGAUGCUAUUGUGGAUGCCAGGAAGUGUUUGCUGACAGGAGUCUGAUAUGGCUGUCUUCUGAGAGGCUCUGCCAGAGCCUGACAAAUACAGAUGUGCCAGAGCCUGACAAAUACAGAUGUGGAUGCUGGCAGCCAACCAUUGGACUGAGCUCUGGGGUCCUUGAUGGAGGAGUUGGAGAAGGAACUGAAGGAGGUGAAAGGGUUUGCAGCCCUACAGGGGGAACAACAGUGUCAACUGGUCUGACCCCUCAGAGCUCCCAGGGAUUGGACUACAAACCAAAGAGUACACAUGGAGGGACCCAUGGCUCUGGCCACGUAUGUAGCAGAGGAUAGCCUUGUUGGACAUCAGUGGGAGGAGCAGCCCUUGGGUGUGAGGAUGUUUGAUGUCCCAGUGUAGGGGAAUGCCAGAGCCAGAAGAUGGGGAGUGUGUGGGUUGGGGAACACCCUUAUAGAGGCAGGGGAAGAGGGGAUGAGAUAGGGAUUUCUGGAGGGGAGACUUGGAAAGGGAAAAACAUUUGAAAUGUAAAUAAAGAAAAUAUCAAAAAAAAAAAAAAAAAAAAGAAGAAGAAGAAGAUGCCCACUGAUUAAGAGUCCAUUCUGGCUCAUUCAGUUCUACUGUACAAGAUUUUCCUAGGCAAUAUUUAUGCUCCUCUAUAAGAAGAGACUUAUUAAAUGAUAGCAAUAGCAGCCACCACAGGGAGGUUUUAGCACCCAGAAGUUUUAAGCCGUUGAUAUUAUAGAAUUUUGUCUUCUCGAUAACCAGCCAAGUGCUAUCCUUUUACAAAGUCAAGAAAGCAAGGAUGGAGAAGUUAACGACUAAGACUGGAGUUCACAUGGCAGAGCCAACACUAUCUGAAUUCUGCCAAUGUAGAAUAUGUAUCAGACCCAUGGGCUGGAGCUGAAGGGCCUGGGCUGGGCUGUGUGAAGGAGGUGUCUGAAGAGUCUCAUCAGAACUCCUCACUCAGCAUGGCGACACACAGGGUGUGAUGGCGAGUUCUGUCUAUUGUUGAAAAUCAGGUGACAUCACCAAAAAAUCCCUUACAACCCAUCACUUAUGCCACUGAUAGGACAUAGGAGAUCAUCAAGAUCAGAUUUCUUUUUAUAACAAUGUUUUGUCUGUUAUGUGUAGCCUUUGUGGUUAUUUUAUAAAAGCACAGGGUGGGUCAAGUAGUGGACAGCUCAGUACCAGGAAAGGAGCAGCACUGAACCUGAGUUCUUCCUAUCACAAACUUUCAGUGGAACAUAUACAUAUAUAUAUUAGGUAAGCAUCAUAUCCUAUACCAUUUAACCCUCAGCCAUUUAAUAUAUUUAUAAUAAAGUCAAGCACGAGUUCCUCAAGGAAAAGCAUCCAUGGGGUGCCCCACGUUUAACUAGCCAUGUUCUCUACAGACCACCAUUUUUAAAAGGCAAAUUUGGCUAUUUUAUAACUUGUUAUGUGAAAUGAGCUCACCGCUCUAAGGAAGACCACUGAUAAUAUUUGAUCUUAGUGAGAAAAUUCAAGAAUAUUGGAAAGUACUGUUUGACUGUGUUGAGCAUCAGAGAUUCUUCAGAUUCCAAGAAUUUCUUGUUGAGGAAAGUGUUAAAGUUAAGAUGCAGGAUGUGUUUCUAACUCUACUGUUGCUGUAAAAACAAAAACAAAAACAGAAACAAAACAAACAAACAACAACAACAAAACUCCACAAGCAACAGAACACCAUGAGCAAGGCAAACAUAGAAGAGAGAAUUUAUUUUGGCUUGUGGUUUCAAGGAUGAAAGUCCAUCAUGGUAGGAAAGCAUGAUAGUAAGGGGCAGGUUGGAGCAAGAAGCUUGCUGAUGAUGUCUCAGAACACGAAAUGGAGUUCAGAGAGAGUGGACUAGAAGUGAAGUGAGAUUAUAACUCACAAAGCCCAUAUUCAGUGAUACACUUCCUACGGAAAAGCUGUACUACCUCCUCAGGCACUGACAUUAGCCAGGGACCAAGGUGCCUAAGCCCGUGGGGGGGGGGGCGUCAUUUCUCAUUAAAAUCAUCACAAAUAUUCCAUGAGGAACCAUAUCAAGAUAGGGCAGUCUGAGUAACACAGUAAACCAAAGUUUUCCAAACAAUUGCUAUAUGCUGUGUAAAUGGUCCAUGGAAAGUGCUGCAUAGACCAGAGGCUUUUUGAAAAUAAUUAGAGUUUGUUAAUGUGGUUUUACAUUCCACUUAUUUCAGCUUGUUGAGUCUAACUCUGACUAUAUAAUGAAUUCUGUAAUAUGGACAUUUUCAGUGGAAAUGUCCUUAUUGUAACACCCCAAAUACAAGACUACACUUAAAUUAAUAUUUAUAUUGAAAUCAAGUAAAUAAAUAAAAAAGAAAUCCACAACCAUUUGAAGAGAUUAAAAUACUUUUUAAAGCAAGAAGUUCAUUGUUCUGGCUAGUUUUGUGUGUCAACUUGACACAAGCUGGAGUUAUCACAGAGAAAGGAGCAUACGUUGAGGAAAUGCCUCUGAGAUGCAGCUGUAAAGCAUUCUCUCAAUUAGUGAUCAAGGAUGGGAGGGCCCGACCAAGCCCAUUGUUGGUGGUGCCACCCCUGGGCUGGUAGUCCUGGGUUCUAUAAGAAAGCAGACUGAGCAAGCCAGGGGAAGCAAGCCAAUAAGUAACAUCCCUCCAUGGCCUCUGCAUAAGCUCCUGCCUACAAGUUCCUGCCCUAAGUGAGUUCCUGUCCUGACUUCCUUGGGUGAUGAACAGCAAUGUGAAAGUGUAAGCUGAAUAAACAUUUUCUUCUCCAACUUGCUUCUUAGUCAUGAUAUUUUGUGCAGGAAUAGAAACCCUUACUAAGACAUUGAUGUAAAUUUUUCUCCAUAUUUAUGUACUGCAACCCCAAAUAAAAUGUUAUUAUGUACAAGAGAAGUAGAUAUAAGAUUCCAGCUAUCUCCUAUUGAGCCAGAAACCAUUCAGAAUUUAAUGAAAAAAAAAGUAUAAAACACCGUUUUUGAAAAGGUUUUAUGGGGAGAGUAGAAUUGAAAAAUUUCUGUCAAUAUGGUUAUAAGUAUAAAUAUGUUAAUAUAGUAUGCAUUUAUUACUGUUAUUUUCAAGUGGAUCAAUGUAUAAUUUUUAAAAAUUAAAUUUAACUUUCACACUUGUAAAUACCAAUGAAUGUGACCUACAUGAGCAGUUCUUGAAAUCGUUAAUUUUUAAGAAUGAGGUCAUAAAAAAGGACAUAAAGCCAGUUUUUUUUUCUAGUUUUAGAUGUACCAUGGAUCUCUUGC